UGAUUAUUUCCUUUUCUCAGGUCUCAAUAUAUUGCCUUUGAGCUCCAUUGAAUGUACCCCUGCUCCUGUAUUAUGAGAGAAGGUCUCUCUGUCCAUUGGUGUGCAAAUGGACAUAUUCCCCAGAGAAGGGCUGGGAUGAUAGUUUCUGGAAGGUGAUUGGCUUAGAAGAUUUGGUGGCAGAUAAGUAUGAAAAAAUAGAGUGGUAAUAAAAAGACUGGCUUCCAAAAGUUCCAGAUCAGAGGCUUUCUGCUGACCAUCUAUCCUUUUCCUCCUCUUGUCUGAUGCUUCCCCUUUCUGGUAAUGCUUUCUCAUCAUCUUCACCUUCUUGCUUCGCUUGAGCCUAUGCUUCCAGCAUAGGGAUGUCUGUUUUGUGAGCACCACGUAAAUACAGAAAAUAAUUGGAAAUCUUUUCGUGAGAAAUGAGGUUGUGCAGACAUCAGAAGCUUAGGUGAAGAAUGCAAAAGGUUCUUUCAAUAGCUGAUUAAGU